GGGUGGUCCACCAAUGGAUGGUACUGCUCUGGCUGGGGUUCACUUUCUGGUGAGCCGGUAUGCUCUUCACUGGGUGUGCCGAGGAACCAGGACUUUUACUUUGAAAAAAUUAGAGUGUUUAAAGCAGGCCUAUGCUUGAAUACAUUAGCAUGGAAUAAUAGAAUAGGACUUUGGUUCUAUUUUGUUGGUUUCUAGGACCGAAGUAAUGAUUAAUAGGGAUAGUUGGGGGCAUUAGUAUUUAGUAGCUAGAGGUGAAAUUCUUGGAUUUAUGAAAGACUAACUUCUGCGAAAGCAUUUGCCAAGGAUGUUUUCAUUAAUCAAGAACGAAAGUUAGGGGAUCGAAGACGAUCAGAUACCGUCGUAGUCUUAACCAUAAACUAUGCCGACUAGGGAUCAGACGAUGUUACUUUACUGACUCGUUUGGCACCUUAUGAGAAAUCAAAGUUUUUGGGUUCCGGGGGGAGUAUGGUCGCAAGGCUGAAACUUAAAGGAAUUGACGGAAGGGCACCACCAGGAGUGGAGCCUGCGGCUUAAUUUGACUCAACACGGGGAAACUCACCAGGUCCAGACAUAGUAAGGAUUGACAGAUUGAGAGCUCUUUCUUGAUUCUAUGGGUGGUGGUGCAUGGCCGUUCUUAGUUGGUGGAGUGAUUUGUCUGCUUAAUUGCGUUAACGAACGAGACCUUAACCUGCUAAAUAGUUAUGCCAACUUUUGUUGGUAGUCAACUUCUUAGAGGGACUGUCGGCGAUUAGCCGAUGGAAGUUUUAGGCAAUAACAGGUCUGUUAUGCCCUUAGAUGUCCUGGGCCGCACGCGCGCUACACUG
rnacentral:rRNA from 1 species